GUGAGGAAUAUUGGUCAAUGGAGGCAACUCUGAACCAGCCAAGUAGCGUGCAGGAUGACGGCCCUAUGGGUUGUAAACUGCUUUUAUGCGGGGAUAAAUUGACUCACGUGUGGGUCAUUCGAGGUACCGCAUGAAUAAGGAUCGGCUAAUUCCGUGCCAGCAGCCGCGGUAAUACGGAAGGUCCGGGCGUUAUCCGGAUUUAUUGGGUUUAAAGGGAGCGUAGGCCGUUGUUUAAGCGUGUUGUGAAAUGUCCCGGCUCAACCGUGGCACUGCAGCGCGAACUGGACGACUUGAGUGCGCGGAACGUAUGCGGAAUUUGUGGUGUAGCGGUGAAAUGCUUAGAUAUCACGAAGAACUCCGAUUGCGAAGGCAGCAUACGGCAGCGCUACUGACGCUGAAGCUCGAAAGCGCGGGUAUCGAACAGG
rnacentral:rRNA from 1 species